GAAAGAUGUUCAGUCACCAUAAGGCUCAGAAUUAAUGAAAAGUCACAGAAAUAAUAGCUCUAUUCUCCAGUUGCUUUUGAACCUCAAAUCACUCUUUGGCAACAAGGUAGAUUGAUAAACUUCAAGGUAAUUAGCAUCUAUAGUUGCUAAGCUGAGAUCUGAGUGACACUGGUGACCUGCCAAAAGAAACAGUUGGCACCAGACUUUGUGAGUUGCCUUUCAUCAGCAAGCUUCACUUCAAAACACUGAAGUCCACCCCGCCUGUACCUGAAUUUCCCUCUUGAAACAAGUGACUAGUGCCAUCUUUCUCUUGAAUUGGCUGGCACUGCUGUGAUAUCAGUUAUCACGUGAUAUUCCAAAAGGCAAUUGUGAUCUCUGGCAUCAACGCGUUGGCAAUCCACUUGGAGAAAAUGCAGUUUGAUGUUAAGCGCCUGGCAGUUUUUAUCGUAGCUGGAAUGAACAGAGGGUCCUUAAGUCACCCGGAAUACCACUGAGUACUCUGUAAUGCUACUCAAUGUCGAAACUAGGUGAGAAGUCCCAAAACCUCAGGUUUCACAAAAGCAGAGUUUCAAUUAUCAAAGCUGGCUAGAAUUGGGGAAUCAUCCAAAUUAACCACUAUAUUUUAUAAAUGAAGAAAUCUGUCACCAUUUGUCUGGGCAAAGAAAAAAGGGAUUGGAGCUACAGUCUUCACUGGCUAAUUUGUUCUGGGAACCAUAGAAGUUAAACGGAUGCUGGACAGACACCAACUAUAUGAGAGACAUCAUGCAUUUUCUAAAUAUGUUGGUGUUCCUCCAUAUAAAUCCAGACUAUUUUGGUAUUGCUUCAUAAGCAAGUAUUCCAACUUAGAAAUGUUGAAAACCAAUAGAGAAGUAACAGAAUGUAGCAGCUCCUCCUUUCCUUUCUUCCUCUCACUAUGUCUGCAUCAGGUACUUCUCUGAUACAGUCUUCACACUGUCAUAAUUGACUAUGACCUUCCAAAAAAAGUCAACAAAGCAACUCACAGCCUACCUGCUGUAGUCCGUGUAUAAUUCACAUGCUGAAAUCCUACUCCCCAAUGUGAUGAUAUCAGGAGGUGGGGCUUUGGGGAGGUAAGAAUGAAGCCCUAAUGAAUGGAAUUAGCUCCCUAACAGAAGAGAACCCCGAGAGCUCCCUCACCCCUUCUGCCAUGUGAGCACAAAGAGAGAAGACGGCCAUCUAUAUGAGCAAGGAAGUGGGCUCUCACCAGACACCAAAUCUGCAGGUGCCUUGAUUUUGGACUUGCCAGCCUCCAGAACUGUGAGGAAUAAAUUUCUGCUGUGUAAGCCACAGGCUCUAUGGAAUUUGUUAUAGCAACCUGAGUGGACUAAGACACUAUCCAGGUUUUUCUGAUAAUGUUUUCUCCCCUCUUUCCACCCUGACAGUACAUCUUUCUCAGUUGCCCUGUGUCACUAUCACCAGGCUGCUUUUGACUUAAAUAAUGGCAAGAGUGCAAGGGCUUUUGGGACAAUUAAUAUAUUCUCUAUUGGAUCUGUUUCAAAGACAGAAUAGCAAUUGUCUUAGAGAACAAAAUGGCACAAUCAUCAGAGUUAUGCAGUGGAGGCUUUUCUAUCUCCAGCUCAGAAGCCUUCCCUGCCCAGCUACACUUGAUCACCCUGGAUGCACGCUGCUCCCACAGUGGUCUUCCACUCACAGCUCCAACUGGAUGAAAGAUGAUGGGAGGGGACAUUGCAGGUCCAGGGAGUGACUCUUCCAGAGUGAAGAAAAAGAAAGUGGUUCUGAGAGCACUACCUAAGAAAGAUCUAAAGCUGUUUGGUAUGGCCAGAAGAAUAUGAUUUUCCUGAGUGACCUGUUGAACCAGUCUUAUUACUCUGUAGUCUCAAUAUAUAGAGCUGGAACAUAAUUCCUCUCCCAGUACCAGGACAAGUGGGUGGGACUGUCUAACUCUCUAUCCCUCCUUCUACUCUUCAAACUGCAAGAUACUAUUUUGUGUAUCUUUUCUUUUUUGAAGGCUGCCCUUGAUGCUCAGCAUAACCUGAGCUCACCUGGAUAAAGGCAUGGUUUAGGAGACGGUACUCGGAGAAACAGUGCCCUGGGUCCAGAGCUUCCAGGACAGGGCCAGGCGGCAAAGCUUAAUGAGGAAAGACUCAUCUGAUAUAAAUAAUUUAAGAGACAGAAUUCACAGUGGCCUGAAUAGAAAGUGAAAAUGCAAGCAUGCUGCUUCUCAUGGACGGCAAAAAACACUGGCAUGAAAAGUCUUGUUUUCUCGUUAAUGAAUUAAAGAAAUAAUCACAAAUGGGAUAUAGAUCCAAGUGACCA